rnacentral:rRNA from 1 species
GUGCGAGACCGAUAGCGAACAAGUACCGUGAGGGAAAGAUGAAAAGAACUUUGAAAAGAGAGUUAAAGAGUACCUGAAACUGCUGAAAGGGAACCGAAUCGUUUCCAGUGUCUAUAAUCUGCGGCAUAUUUCAUUGGCGGCAGUGUGCGUGCUUUUGCGUCGGAAGCGGCUUUUGUUGCUCUGUGCUUUUGCUGUGCGUGCUGUUGCUGGUGCCCUGUGUUGCGGUGGGACGUCAGAGUCAGUUCGUAUGCUGCGGGAAAUGGCCGCCGAGGAGGUAGGUCAGGACUUCGGUCUUGGCUGUUAUAUCUUGGUGGUUUGUUGUCGUGGUUGGGACUGAGGUGCCUACAAUGUGCUUUUGAGUGUGCCGGGUUCUCAUUUGGUGGACUGUUUGGAUAGCUUGCUAUGCUUGUGGUUUUUUCAUCGAGUGAUUGAGUCUGGUGGUAACUUGUUGCUGUUCGGGACUUUGAA